UACAGAGGGUGCGAGCGUUGUCCGGAAUUACUGGGCGUAAAGGGCGCGUAGGCGGCCUGCUAAGUCGAACGUGAAAUCCCCGGGCUCAACCCGGGAACUGCGUCCGAUACUGGCAGGCUUGAAUCCGGGAGAGGGAUGUGGAAUUCCAGGUGUAGCGGUGAAAUGCGUAGAUAUCUGGAGGAACACCGGUGGCGAAGGCGGCAUCCUGGACCGGUAUUGACGCUGAUGCGCGAAAGCCAGGGGAGCAAACGGG
rnacentral:rRNA from 1 species